GAUGAACGCUGGCGGCGUGCCUAAUACAUGCAAGUCGAACGGGGAGUAGCAAUACUCUUAGUGGCGAACGGGUGAGUAACGCGUUGGUACCUGCCCCGAAGCGGGGGAUAACGGACCGAAAGGUCCGCUAAUACCCCAUGUGCUCGGUAACGAGUAAAGGUGAAAACCACUUUGGGAGGGGCAUGCGUCCCAUCAGCUAGUUGGUAAGGUAACGGCUUACCAAGGCGAUGACGGGUAGGGGACCUGAGAGGGUGGCCCCCCACAAUGGAACUGAAACACGGUCCAUACACCUACGGGUGGCAGCAGUAGGGAAUAUUGGUAAUGGGCGCAAGCCGGAACCAGCAACGCCGCGUGUGCGAUGACGGCCUUCGGGUUGUAAAGCACUUUUGACUGGGACGAGGAAGGACGGUACCGGUCGAAUCAGCCUCGGCUAACUACGUG
rnacentral:rRNA from 1 species